UUGCAGCCAAUUAAGCCGACUGUGCUCUUUUCCUCAUGGGGGCCCAGUGUGCAGUGGCUGCAGACAGCAGCCUCCUUGGUAGUGUAUGCAGCCUGUUGCCUGUACAGGUUGCCCUAAGGGACCUUGGAGACACUC
ensembl:snoRNA SNORA70 Small nucleolar RNA SNORA70